GGUUCAAUGGUGUAGUGGUUCAGCACUCUGGACUUCUAAUCCAGCGACCUGGGUUUGACUCCGGUGGGACCU
rnacentral:tRNA from 1 species